rnacentral:rRNA from 1 species
UUCCGGUUGAUCCCGCCGGAGGUCACUGCUAUCGGGGUUCGAUUAAGCCAUGCGAGUCGAGAGGGUUCAGACCCUCGGCGGACUGCUCAGUAACACGUGGAUAAUCUGCCCUAUGGUGGAGGAUAACCCCGGGAAACUGGGGAUAAUACUCCAUAAGUCAGGAGUACUGGAAUGUCUCCUAACUGAAAGUUUCGGCGCCAUAGGAUGAAUCUGCGGCCGAUUAGGUAGUUGUUGGGGUAACGGCCCAACAAGCCCGUAAUCGGUACGGGUUGUGGGAGCAAGAGCCCGGAGAUGGAAUCUGAGACACGAUUCCAGGCCCUACGGGGUGCAGCAGGCGCGAAAACUUUACAAUGCAGGAAACUGUGAUAAGGGAACCCCGAGUGCCCGUACACGCGGGCUGUCCCGGUGUUUAAAACACAUCGGAAGAAAGGGCCGGGCAAGACCGGUGCCAGCCGCCGCGGUAAUACCGGCGGCUCGAGUGGUGACCACUUUUAUUGGGCUUAAAGCGUUCGUAGCUUGAUUUUUAAGUCUCUUGGGAAAUCUCACGGCUUAACUGUGAGGCGUCUAAGAGAUACUGGGAAUCUAGGGACCGGGAGAGGUAAGAGGUACUUCAGGGGUAGAAGUGAAAUUCUGUAAUCCUUGAGGGACCACCGAUGGCGAAGGCAUCUUACCAGAACGGCUUCGACAGUGAGGAACGAAAGCUGGGGGAGCGAACGGGAUUAGAUACCCCGGUAGUCCCAGCCGUAAACUAUGCGCGUUAGGUGUGCCUGUAACUACGAGUUACCGGGGUGCCGAAGUGAAAACGUGAAACGUGCCGCCUGGGAAGUACGGUCGCAAGGCUGAAACUUAAAGGAAUUGGCGGGGGAGCACCACAACGGGUGGAGCCUGCGGUUUAAUUGGAUUCAACGCCGGG